AGGAAUGUGGCUUAGUGGUAAAGUACUUGCCUACCACGCAUGAGGCCAUGGAUUCAAUUCCUUGGUACCAC
rnacentral:tRNA from 1 species